UACAGAGGGUGCGAGCGUUGUCCGGAAUCACUGGGCGUAAAGGGCGCGUAGGCGGCCUGAUAAGUAGGGGGGUGAAAUCCUGUGGCUUAACUGCAGGGCUGCCUCCUAGACUGUUAGGCUCGAGCACGGUAGAGGCAGAUGGAAUUCCCGGUGUAGCGGUGGAAUGCGUAGAGAUCGGGAAGAACACCGGUGGCGAAGGCGGCCG
rnacentral:rRNA from 1 species